rnacentral:lncRNA from 10 species
UUAUAUUCCAGAAGAUGUAAUGUUAGGUUCAGUGUCCCCUUCCCUUUAUUUGUUGUCAUUUAUACAUUUUUACAUGAAAAGCAAGUAUAUUUUGGAAUAUAUACUAUUUUCCAAUCACUGCACUAUGUGCUAUUAUUUUCUUUCAGUUGUAGGAACAGAAUCAAUAACAAAUAGAAGAUGCUGAGAGGAGUAAACUCUGUAUGAUUGCAUCCCAGCACCACAGCAACAGGGAUGGCUCCUUGAAGACUGAAAACAAUGAUUGCUGAUAGUGUGCUGAAACUUCUUUGACACUGACUUAAGGAAGGAAUCAAAGGGUCAGUUGAUAGGAAGAACACAGGAUUUGGCCAAACAGCAAUAUACUUCAAACAUGAAUUGCUUUGAUCUAUUUUCUGGGAUGUUGGAUACUUAAAAAAAUUAUAUACAACCUUCUGCUGGUUUUACAAGCAAGCAAUGUCUUUCUUAAGGACCUG